rnacentral:rRNA from 1 species
GUGGCGCACGGGUGAGGAACAGGUGGGUGACGUGCCCCAGAGUGGGGGAUAGCCCGUGCGAAGGACGUAUUAAUCCCGGAUACGCUACUACGGAGGAAAGCUUCUACGGGCGGUCUGGGAGGAGCCUGCGGCAUCAUGGUUGUUGGUGUGGUAACGCCGCACCAAGCCACUGAUGGGUACCCGGUCUGAGAGGAGCGGCCGGGCAGACUGAGACUGCGACACGGCCCAUGACUCCUACGGGAGGCAGCAGCAAGGAUAUUUUCCCCAAUGGGUCGCAAGCUGUGGGGGAGCAACGCCGCGUGGACGGACGACGGCCUUCGGGUUGUAAACUCCUUUCGGGUGGGACGACCACGACGGUACCACCAGAAGCAGGCCCGGCUAACUCUGUGCCAGCAGCCGCGGUAAGACAGAGGGGGCAAGCGUUGUCCGGAGUUACUGGGCGUAAAGGGCGCGGAGGCGAUCUGCGCGUCGCGCUGAAAGCGCCACGCUUAACGGGCGAGCGUGCCGAUACGCGCAGACUUGGGGCGAGCAGAGGAUGGUAGAAAUUCCGGGUGGAGCGGUGAAAUGCGUAGAGAUCCGGAGGAACGCCAGUGGGGAAGCCGACAACCUGGGCUCGUCCUGACGCUUGGCGCGACAGCGUGGGGAGCAAACCGGAUUAGAUACCCGGGUAGUCCACGCCCGUAAACGAUGCCAGCUCGGCAUGUGCGCACGGUCGUGCGCUGCGUGCCUUAGCUCACGCGAUAAGCUGGCCGCCUGGGGACUACGAGCGCAAGCUUAAAACUGAAAGGAGAUUGACGGGGGCCCGCACAAGACAGCGGAGCCGUGUGGUAUUAAUUCGACGCAACACGAAGAACCUUACCUGGGCUAUGACAUGACGCUGCGACGCCGUCGAAAGACGGCCGCCUACGAGGGCCCGUCAAGGGC